rnacentral:lncRNA from 1 species
AUGUGCCUCCCUUAGCUGCAGUUCCACUCCGGACUGGGUUCAACCUGUCACGAUCACUUAUAGGACCUAGAACCACCUUAAUGGGCAUCCCCUUGUUCAAAGAGCACUCUCAAAAUCUCUCUCUGCUACAGAAUGGCCAGUAGCCUCAUUCUCAGCUGCAACACGUCAGUGCGAAUACAGUCCACCUUCUACGCACCUCCAGGAGGGUACUUUUGGUGUAAUGGCACCCUAACCAAAGUUAUAACUGCCUCCCUCGCCUUCCCCUGUGUGCCCGUUAUUUCAGUCCCCCAGUUAGAAGUAUAUGGGCAGAUGGAGUUCCUAUCCCUCGUCACACCUCCCCCUACUCACCAAAGCAAGUGAGCUGUUUUCCUCCCAAUAGUAGUCAGUCUCUCCUUGGCAUCCUCUCUAGUGGCUGCUGGUAUAGGAGGCGGAGCAAUGGGCUACAGCGUUACUUCAGCAGCUCAGCUAGAAGACAAGCUCCAUGUAGCUAUUGAAGCUUCAGCUCCCUCUCUGGCAUCCCUUCAAGGACAAAUCACGUUGCUAGCUCAGUUAACUCCAAAACCGGCAGGCCCUAGACCUGCUGACGACGGAGAAAGGAGGCUUCAGCUUUCAAGAAGCAAUUUGCUGUGUUGUGAAGAGAUCUAUUUUGGACAUAAAGGUGGCCCGUAGGAGAUGAGAGCAACUCUAGUCAACAGCCAGCAAGAAAACUGGAACCUGAGUCCUACAUACACAGUAGCUGGAUUCUGUCAACACCAUGAAAGGGCAUGGAAAUGGAUUAUUUCCCCGUCAAGAUUCCAAGUGAGAACAAAGCUCAUCCAUUGAUUUCAGCUUUAUAAGACCUUGAGCAGGGAACCAGUUGAGCUGGGACCAUAUUUUUAGCUUACAGAACUUUGGGAUAAUAAAUGGAUGUUGUUUUGUGGUAAUUUGUUAUAGAGCAACAUAGAAUGAAUAUGAAUGAAUAAAGG